rnacentral:rRNA from 1 species
GACGAACGCUGGCGGCGUGCUUAACACAUGCAAGUCGAACGGAAAGGCUCCAGCUUGCUGGCGUACUCGAGUGGCGAACGGGUGAGUAACACGUGGGUAAUCUGCCCUGCACUCUGGGAUAAGCCUGGGAAACUGGGUCUAAUACUGGAUAUGACCUUUCUCCUUAUGGGGUUUGGUGGAAAGUUUUUCGGUGUAGGAUGAGCCCGCGGCCUAUCAGCUUGUUGGUGGGGUGAUGGCCUACCAAGGCGACGACGGGUAGCCGGCCUGAGAGGGUGAUCGGCCACAUUGGGACUGAGAUACGGCCCAGACUCCUACGGGGGGCAGCAGUGGGGAAUAUUGCACAAUGGGCGGAAGCCUGAUGCAGCGACGCCGCGUGAGGGAUGACGGCCUUCGGGUUGUAAACCUCUUUCAGCAGGGACGAAGCGUAAGUGACGGUACCUGCAGAAGAAGCACCGGCUAACUAUGUG